AGCGAACGCUGGCGGCAGGCUUAACACAUGCAAGUCGAGCGCCCCGCCAGGGGAGCGGCAGCCGGGUGAGUAACACGUGGGAACGUACCCUUUGGUUCGGAACAACCCAGGGAAACUUGGGCUAAUACCGGAUAAGUCCGCGAGGAGAAAGAUUUAUCGCCGAAGGAUCGGCCCGCGUCUGAUUAGCUAGUUGGUGUGGUAACGGCGCACCAAGGCGACGAUCAGUAGCUGGUCUGAGAGGAUGAUCAGCCACACUGGGACUGAGACACGGCCCAGACUCCUACGGGAGGCAGCAGUGGGGAAUAUUGGACAAUGGGGGCAACCCUGAUCCAGCCAUGCCGCGUGAGUGAUGAAGGCCCUAGGGUUGUAAAGCUCUUUCGGGGGGGAAGAUAAUGACGGUACCCACAGAAGAAGCCCCGGCUAACUUCGUG
rnacentral:rRNA from 1 species